rnacentral:rRNA from 1 species
GGGUAAGGGAGCAGGAGGGUGUGGCGGCGGUGGUGUGUUGCGUGUGUGUCCCAUUUCCUCGAGGAGCAGGGCUAGGGGUACCGGUGGUCGCUGGCGGAGCCCGGAGGAGCGCGCGCGGGGAAGCUGGCGGCCGCCCGGUUCGACUGAGUCGCCUAUGGCUACGGGACAAAGAGGCACGGUGCGGGCUACGGGCGCGGCCGUUGGAGCUGGAGGUCGGUACCGCGGGCGCGGAGGAGAACGGCUGGAUGAAACGCGGCGGCAGAGGGAGGCCGACGGGGCUCGGCGAGGAGUAGUAGCUAUAUAACCUCGGGUCCUCGGUCUGCGGUGGCAGCUGCUACUGGGGAUGAUGCGUCUCCCACGCAGGAUGAUGCACGUCCGGCGGCUGCUACUAGCCCUCAUCAAAUCCUCCUAGGGUCCGUCCUCCGGACGCGGAGAAAGUUAGACAUAGGGUCAAACACGAUCGGAAGAAUUCCGUUUGAACAAAUUGAAUACAGACAUGAGUCUAUAACAAC